CAGCCGCCGCGGGAAUACAGAGGGUGCGAGCGUUAAUCGGAUUUACUGGGCGUAAAGCGUGCGUAGGCGGCUUCUUAAGUCGGAUGUGAAAUCCCUGAGCUUAACUUAGGAAUUGCAUUCGAUACUGGGAAGCUAGAGUAUGGGAGAGGAUGGUAGAAUUCCAGGUGUAGCGGUGAAAUGCGUAGAGAUCUGGAGGAAUACCGAUGGCGAAGGCAGCCAUCUGGCCUAAUACUGACGCUGAGGUACGAAAGCAUGGGGAGCAAACAGGAUUAGAGACCCGGGUAGUCACUGUCUCUUAUAA
rnacentral:rRNA from 1 species